AUACAGUGUCAGAAUGACAGAGAUGAAUGUCACCUAAUUACUGUCCUGAAGGAGCUCAUGAUGGAAUCAAGGUAUAGAAACAUAGUCAGAUAUCUUCUCAAGGGAGCGCCAACAAGAUUUGCUGACAAAUUGAAUGUGAAGUAUGAGAGGAAGAGAGGAAGCAAGGAUGACUGCAAGAUUUAUUGGCCUUUAUAACUGGAAGGCUGAAGUUGACGUCAGCUAGCAUUGGGAAGGCUGCAAGCGGAGUAGCCCAGAGAGUGAAGGCAUGAGACUGGAAGAGAUCAACAAAGACGCAGAGUGAUUGGAGAUCAAAGGAGCCCCAGGAGUGACCCCAGGAGGUUCCAAUUUCAAGGUCAAGAGAUGAGAAGAAACAAUCAGUAAUCCAGGAGGAAAAUGAGAAAAUUUAAAAUUACAUAUGUGGUUCCCACUAUAUUUCUACUGGACAGCACUGAUCUAGAUAGAAUCCAAGAAUUGUCGUAUCACUUGCCAACUAAGGUCAGGCAGUUGCAGUGGUUGGUGUCAAAAGAGAAGGGGAUUCCAGAAGAAGGAUUUUGCUGGAGGUGGACUUUGCAACAUCACUCAAUGCCACUAUGGAGCUCAGGAGAGGACAGCCGCCAUGUUGUGAGCAGCCCUGUGGAGAGGCCCUAGUGGCAAGGACCCGAAGUGGAGUCUCCUUCUCCAGCUGCAGCCUGGCUGACAGUUUGACUACAACUUCCUAAAGAGACCCUGAGCCAGAACCACCAGAAUCAUUUUUUUUAACACUUUUUGGUGCUGAGGAAUGUGAUCUGAGGCUGACUGCUAACGGUCUACAGGACAAGAAGACACACAGCCACUGUUAUCAAGAUCUGGGUAUUAUUUGUGUUACAACUGCUGGAAGAGGAAA
rnacentral:lncRNA from 1 species